AGUCUUCAUUUGCUUUGAAAUACCCAAGUUAUUUUUUGACAUCGGUCAGAUGAUGAUGAUUGUAUACAAUUUAAGAUCAAUUAAUCAGAUAGGUCAAAUGACUGUUCUCAGAUUAGAGAAAUAAAGUAAGUCGAUGUGAAUAACUUUAAGAAGUAAUCUUCAUUAUUGAACUGAAUUAAAUCAAAUCAUGUAAUUUGGAUAUAAAUCAAUCUUUAAUAAUCUACUAUAAAAAUUUCAAAAAUAUCUUUAACCGAAGUUAAGGUAGCAGAUUAGAUUUUAUUUGUUAGAUGUAUGUCUUAGAAGCUAAUUUGGCAGACACAUUGUAUCAUUCU
rnacentral:lncRNA from 1 species